rnacentral:lncRNA from 1 species
CAGGGCGUACCGGUAACCCGGUAUUCCUUGGUGUUGGACACUUUGAACGUACUCGUAAGUCAACGGCCUGGAACAAACGUUUCGUUCAAUGAAAAUCAACGAUUCAACUCACCACCGCAACGACGUUCAAUUGGACAAUCUUAUCGUGCAAACUCCCGUUGCUCCUGUCCGGAUCAAAGUGCCACGUUCUUCUCUGCAAGUAGCUCACCGUGUUGUUCUCCGGAUGGAACGUGAUGUUGACCUUCUGCCUCUUUUCACUGUGGGCAGAGCGAUUCAUUAUCGUCAUCAUCGACAACGAGCCCAGCCAAUGAAGGGAGGAUAAUCGUAUGAAAAUAAUGUGGCAAAGAAAUGAUAACGCGACUUCUCCGAGACACAACCUCGGAGCUUCGAAAGCUCCUGGUCCAUUAGCGUAGCUUCGGUGCGAUGUCAACGGAGAAGAAAAAGGUUUCGUGAGUCUCCGAAGAGGAAUAUUCGAAUACGUAGCAGCUCGAGCACCACCUUCGAAUAAGCGAACUUGGCCAGUGAGAAUGUUUCUGUCGCAAGCGAGCUUGAUUGAGCCUUUGUUGGAGCGAUUUGUGCAGCGAAACUCGGUUCCGGUCGAGCCAACGAGCAUUUUAAAAUCAAAUUAAUAAGAAUAAGUUGUUGUAAUUGAAGAAAUAUGUAACUCGAGUGUACGAGGCCCGUUGAGGCUCGCCCACGAGUCGAGGGUGUUGAAAAUUUCGAGAAACGAGAGUAAGAGUCUCGUGUCGCAGUAAUUCGCGCCGAGGGACUCCUAUCUGAGGAGAAAAAACCAUGAGCAGAGAGUGAAGAAAGUACAGCUUCGGUAGUAGCUGUCACCGCCGCCGUCGCACUGUACACAGAGCCACGGAUGAGAGUCUCACGAGAAAGUAAUUAACAAGUCAAUUGUUUAAUGAGAAAGAUCCCCGGUAUUGGCCCGGCCCACGCGAACAGGAGGGAAUGCGAGAGGUCCAACAAAAUCGUCUUAUUAACGUAUUAACGAGGCAAUAUUACGGGGUUAACCAUUGCUUCCCGAUUGCCUUUAAUUUCAUCAUCUGAAAUAUGCCCGACGACCUUCGUCUCGUAGACUAGCUAGAGCAUUCAGACGCGGCGACGAUAAUUGAUCAUUAUUGCGAGUUUAAUAUCGAAUCUGCAUAAAAUUGCUCCAUUACCCUUAUCGUCGGUUUACACGCGACGCUCAAACCCCUUUUUUCCUCAACGUACAAAAUAUGUUCGUAAAUGAUGCCCGGAAAAUUAAAUUCAUUGUUUUCAAGUAAAUACGAAUGCAGCGGUGCGUGCAUACAAUACACAGCGAGAGGCUGCACUUUCGAAACGUUCUGCAACUAGAAAAUUCAUCUUGCCUCGAAUAAUGUAUUCGCGAACGUUACAUAUCUCAUAAAUGACCGAAUGAAUUGAUAGAAUUUAUUCAAUUGCUCAUACGUCGAGUAUACCAACUCGUAUUAUCGUUAUGAAAUAGAUGUUGAAAAAAACGGUUCGUGUCGGUGAUGACGGGGUUCGAAAAUGUCUCACUUAUUUUUAUAGAUGCAUUUCGACGUGCUAUUAAAGAAUUUUAUCAACGCUACGAA